GUAGGUGGCAAGCGUUGUCCGGGAAUUAUUGGGGCGUAAAGCGCGCGCAGGCGGUUCUUUAAGUCUGAUGUGAAAGCCCACGGGCUCAACCGUGGAGGGUCAUUGGAAACUGGAGAACUUGAGUACAGAAGAGGAAAGCGGAAUUCCACGUGUAGCGGUGAAGUGCGUAGAGAUGUGGAGGAACACCAGUGGCGAAGGCGGCUUUCUGGUCUGUAACUGACGCUGAGGCGCGAAAGCGUGGGGAGCAAACAGGAUUAGAUACCCUGGUAGUCCACGCCGUAAACGAUGAGUGCUAAGUGCUAGGGGGUUUCCGCCCCUUAGUGCUGCAGCUAACGCAUUAAGCACUCCGCCUGGGGAGUACGGCCGCAAAGGCUG
rnacentral:rRNA from 1 species